UAGGAAAAAUGUACAGUAUAGUUACCACGAGAAAAUAUGCAGUGCUUUUUAAUUCCAUUUUAAAUCUUAAAUGACUUAGUCACCGUUAUCUUGAGAAAUGAACACUAAUUAUGUUUCAGCAACUAAAUCGCAAUCCGAUAACAGAAAACGUUUUAGUAUUUGCAAUAACAGAAACAAAGAAGACAAAUAAUCCACACAUACCUGCAAUAACCCAUAUCUCUGAAAAUGGCGACUCAACUACUUCCUCAUUUAAAAUGUCACUUCCGGCUUCAGAUGAUGACGUCACUUCCGGUCCAUCAAUGAUGACAUCACUUUUCCGGCCUCUGAUGAUGACGCCACUUCCGGUCCAUUGAUGAUGAUGUCACUUUCCCGCCUCCGAUGAUGGCGUCACUUCAGGUCCAUAGAUGAUGAUGUCACUUCCGGCCUCCGACGAUGAUGUCACUUCCGGCCCUCCCACGAUGACAUCACUUCUGCUUUAAUCAUGUCCGGUAGCCAUUUUCAUGAAUAAAUAGUCACCAUUAUGAUCA